GCCCAUUAAAGCGGUACGCGAGCUGGGUUCAGAACGUCGUGAGACAGUUCGGUCCCUAUCUGUCGUGGGCGUAGGAAAUUUGAGAGGAGCUGUCCUUAGUACGAGAGGACCGGGAUGGACGUACCGCUGGUGUACCAGUUGUUCCGCCAGGAGCACCGCUGGGUAGCUAUGUACGGAAGGGAUAAGCGCUGAAAGCAUCUAAGCGUGAAGCCCCCCUCAAGAUGAGAUUUCCCAAUAAGUAAGACCCCUUGAAGACGACGAGGUAGAUAGGUUGGGGGUGGAAGUGCAGUAAUGCAUGGAGCUGACCAAUACUAAUCGGUCGAGGGCUUAUCCU
rnacentral:rRNA from 2 species